AAAAUAAUGCAAACGUCUCGUUAUGCAUGAUUUUAAUCAAAUUCAUGACUCUGAUAUGUUAAGUUGAUGAGGAAUUAGACUUGUUACUACCUAUUCUUCAAUAGCUGGCCAAAGAACAACCGUCUCUCUCCCAGUUGCAUGUCCCCCUCCAGUCAAGGACAGUGUGUGGGGAAAGCACCUUGACUUAGUAAACUCCAAAAUAUACGCCACCUAUGUUACUCUUCCAAUUAGUUACCAGAGUAUGACAAUGGCGGCUUCUUGCCAUUUAAAGCUAUUUUGUUGCCACUAAGAUGGUAGCAUGGUUGGAACGGAACUAAGAUUUCACGAAAAUGACCUAGAUUCGAAAUGCACGGGCGUCGAUUAAAUGUCAGGACCGGAUACCUUCUGUCGAUUUACUCAGUGGAGUCGCCAUCUGGUCCGCUGGUAUCGAGGUGGUGCUGGGUCGACGUACUCAUACGUGGGGCAACCCACGAGUCGGAAAGGAUACGCGGAAACUUGCGACCCACGUCAAAAAUUCUCUGGUGAAAGAGAGGCCUAGUGAAAGCUGUUACGCGGG
rnacentral:lncRNA from 1 species